rnacentral:rRNA from 1 species
CUCAGGUGCGAAAGCGUGGGGAGCAAACAGGAUUAGAUACCCUGGUAGUCCACGCCGUAAACGAUGUCUACUUGGAGGUUGUGCCCUUGAGGCGUGGCUUCCGGAGCUAACGCGUUAAGUAGACCGCCUGGGGAGUACGGCCGCAAGGUUAAAACUCAAAUGAAUUGACGGGGGCCCGCACAAGCGGUGGAGCAUGUGGUUUAAUUCGAUGCAACGCGAAGAACCUUACCUGGUCUUGACAUCCACAGAACUUUCCAGAGAUGGAUUGGUGCCUUCGGGAACUGUGAGACAGGUGCUGCAUGGCUGUCGUCAGCUCGUGUUGUGAAAUGUUGGGUUAAGUCCCGCAACGAGCGCAAC